rnacentral:tRNA from 1 species
AAUAUUGUGCCUGAUAAAAGGGCUAUCUUGAUAGGGUAGAUUAUAGAUAUAUGUUAUCUCAAUAUUA